UCCGAAGGGGGCUAGCGUUGCUCGGAAUCACUGGGCGUAAAGCGCACGUAGGCGGCUUCUUAAGUCAGGGGUGAAAUCCUGGGGCUCAACCCCAGAACUGCCCUUGAUACUGAGGAGCUUGAGUCCGGGAGAGGUGAGUGGAACUCCGAGUGUAGAGGUGAAAUUCGUAGAUAUUCGGAAGAACACCAGUGGCGAAGGCGGCUCACUGGCCCGGUACUGACGCUGAGGCACGAAAGCUAGGGUAGCGAACGGG
rnacentral:rRNA from 1 species